rnacentral:sRNA from 17 species
GCCUUGGUCACGCAGACUAAGAACGCCACGUCCUGUGGCAACGUCUGCAUGACCCCCAUCCGGGGGA